AGGAUAAACGCUGGCGGCGUGCCUAAUACAUGCAAGUCGAGCGGCAGCGCGGUCUUCGGACUGGCGGCGAGCGGCGGACGGCUGAGUAACACGUAGGAACGUACCCCAAAGUGAGGGAUAAGCACCAGAAAUGGUGUCUAAUACCGCAUGUGCUCUAAGGAGUAAAGCUUCGGCGCUUUGGGAACGGCCUACGCAUGAUUAGCUUGUUGGUGAGGUAAUGGCUCACCAAGGCGACGAUCAUUAGCUGGUCUGAGAGGAUGAUCAGCCAGACUGGGACUGAGAACGGCCCAGACUCCUACGGGAGGCAGCAGUAGGGAAUUUUCCACAAUGGGCGAAAGCCUGAUGGAGCAACGCCGCGUGCAGGAUGAAGGCCUUAGGGUUGUAACUGCUUUUAUGUGUGACGAAUAUGACGGUAGCAUAUGAAUAAGGAUCGGCUAACUCCGUGCCAGCAGCCGC
rnacentral:rRNA from 1 species